rnacentral:rRNA from 1 species
UGGGGAAUAUUGCACAAUGGGCGAAAGCCUGAUGCAGCAACGCCGCGUGAGUGAUGAAGGUCUUCGGAUUGUAAAGCUCUGUCUUUUGGGACGAUAAUGACGGUACCAAAGGAGGAAGCCACGGCUAACUACGUGCCAGCAGCCGCGGUAAUACGUAGGUGGCGAGCGUUGUCCGGAUUUACUGGGCGUAAAGGGUGCGUAGGCGGAUGUUUAAGUGAGAUGUGAAAUACCCGGGCUUAACUUGGGUGCUGCAUUUCAAACUGGAUAUCUAGAGUGCAGGAGAGGAGAAUGGAAUUCCUAGUGUAGCGGUGAAAUGCGUAGAGAUUAGGAAGAACACCAGUGGCGAAGGCGAUUCUCUGGACUGUAACUGACGCUGAGGCACGAAAGCAGUGGGUAGCAAA